UACAGGGAGGUAAUAACAUGGUUAUAUACAGGGAGUACCAGGUAAUAACAUGGCUAUAUACAGGGAGUACCAGGUAAUAACAUGGCUAUAUACAGGAAGUACCAGGUAAUAACAUGGCUAUAUACAGGGAGGUAAUAACAUGGUUAUAUACAGGGAGUACCAGGUAAUAACAUGACUAUAUACAGGGAGUACCAGGUAAUAACAUGGCUAUAUACAGGGAGGUAAUAACAUGGCUAUAUACAGGGAGUACCAGGUAAUAACAUGGCUAUAUACAGGGAGUACCAGAUAAUAACAUGGC